UCGGGAAUUUUGGGCAAUGGGCGAAAGCCUGACCCAGCAACGCCGCGUGAAGGAUGAAGUAUUUCGGUAUGUAAACUUCGAAAGAAUAGGAAGAAUAAAUGACGGUACUAUUUAUAAGGUCCGGCUAACUACGUGCCAGCAGCCGCGGUAAUACGUAGGGACCAAGCGUUGUUCGGAUUUACUGGGCGUAAAGGGCGCGUAGGCGGCAAUUCAAGUCAUCUGUGAAAUCUCCGGGCUUAACUCGGAACGGUCAGAUGAUACUGCUUUGCUAGAGUGCAGAAGGGGCAAUCGGAAUUCUUGGUGUAGCGGUGAAAUGCGUAGAUAUCAAGAGGAA
rnacentral:rRNA from 1 species